AUGGCACAAGGAACUAAUAACAUUAUUCAAGGCCUUCAAAAGGUGGCUAGUGAGCUUCAAAACUGGAGUACAAAUAUCUUGGGCGAUCUUGAAAAGAGGUUGAAGAUUUUAAAGAGGGAGUUGGAGGAAGUCAGAAGAAGUGCAAUAUCCCCUCUACAAGUCUCUCGUGAAUUGUUCCUACGUGAGAAGCUCGAGCGCCUGGAACAUCAACGAGACCUUUAUUGGAAGCAACGCUCACAUGUCAAUUGGCUUAAAUCAGGUGACAAAAACACAAAGUAUUUUCAUGCCUUCGCCUCUGAAAGAAAGAAGAGAAAUACAAUCCGCCAGCUAAAAAAUGAUAGUGGGGACUGGGUAGAAGGCGAUGAGAAUUUAAAAAAUCUAAUCAAUGACUACUUUGUGUCUCUGUUUACAGCCCAGGCAGAAGGAAGUAGCCAAGAAGCUUUAAGUUGCAUAGGAAGAAGAGUGGACCAAAGCAUGAACAAUAUUCUGUGCACUGAAUUUUCUGAAGAUGAGGUGAGAGCAGCCCUUGACGCAAUAGGGGACUUGAAAGCACCAGGCCCUGAUGGUAUGCCGGCCCUAUUUUACAAGCGCUACUGGCACAUAGUAGGGGAGAAGAUCACUCAAGAAGCUUUGCGGAUACUGAGGGGAGGAGAGAUGCCGAUGGGGUGGAAUGACACAAUGGUGGUGCUUAUUCCAAAAGUAAGCAGACCUGAGAGUUUGAAGGACCUCCGACCCAUAAGCCUCUGCAACGUAGUCUAUAAGAUAGUUUCUAAAGUGCUGACCAAUAGACUAAAGGUGAUAUUACCUGAUAUUAUCUCUCCGAAUCAAAGUGCUUUUGUUCCGGGGAGAAUGAUCUCGGAUAACAUCCUCUUGGCAUAUGAGCUGACUCAUUUCUUGCAGAAUAAAAGAAGAGGGAAAGCCAGCUUUGCAGCACUCAAACUCGACAUGAGCAAGGCGUACGAUCGAAUUGAAUGGACUUUCUUGAGGGACAUGAUGAUAAAGAUGGGGUUUAACUCUUCCUGGGUCAAGCUCAUUAUGAACUGCGUCACCACGGUUCCUUAUCAAAUAAAGAAAGCGGAGGAACGUGGAAAAAUAAUAGGCAUCAAAGUAUGCAAAAGAGCUCCAAUCAUUAAUCAUCUCCUCUUUGCAGAUGAUUCUUUACUGCUCUUCAAAGCUGAAAAUAGGACUGCAAUAGAGAUAAAUCAUAUCCUGGAGACAUAUGCUGGUUGCUCAGGUCAAGUAAUCAAUAAGGAGAAAUCUGCCAUAAUGUUUAGCAAGAAUACCCAGCAUCAGCAGAAGAAUAUGAUCAUGUCAGCAUUGCAUAUUACAAGGGAGGCAAGAACAGAGAAGUAUUUAGGGCUGCCAGUGUACAUAGGAAGAUCAAAAGAAAAGGCAUUUGCCUACCUCAAAGACAAAAUUUGGAGGAAAGUUCAAGGAUGGAAAGAAAAAAUGCUCUCAACGACGGGUAAAGAGAUUCUAAUAAAGGCCGUAGCCCAAGCAGUCCCGGUCUUUGCAAUGGCAUGUUUUGAUCUGACCAAGACUUUAUGUAACCAGAUUAGUGAGAUGAUCUGCAGAUACUGGUGGAGUAAUAUGGACAAAGAACAUAAAAUCCAUUGGGUUAGUCGGGAACAUAUGAUGCUGCCAAAGAAGGAUGGAGGGCUAGGUUUCAGGGAUCUCCAUGUGUUUAACAGAGCCAUGUUAGCGAGGCAAGCAUGGAGCUUAGCAAAUGCGCCCAACUCUCUUUGCGCUAGAGUUCUAUCUGCGAAAUACUACCCAUCAGGUCAGAUUAUUAGAGCAGUGCCAAAGGAUGGCAUGUCUUAUUCGUGGAGAAGCAUCCUUAAAGGAGUUCAACUGCUAAGAGAAGGUGUAAUCUGGAGAAUAGGCAAUGGUGAGAAGGUGAACAUAUGGAAUGACCCAUGGAUCCCACGAGGUAAGAGUAGAAAACCUGCCACUCCCCAAAGAAGGAAUGUCAUCCUCCACAAAGUCUCAGGACUAAUUAACCCAGUAGAUGGUGAUUGGGAUGAAGACCUAAUAAAACAAACGUUUAAUGAGAAAGAUGCAGAGGAAAUUCUGCAAAUACCAAUCAGCGAAGGAAACGAGGACUGGCUUGCAUGGCACUUUGAUAAAAGGGGCUUAUUCUCUGUGAAAUCAGCUUAUCAAGUGGCCAUUGAAACAGAUGCAAGGAAGUCUAUCCAUGGUAUUUCUUCUGCAUCUAGCACAACAGCUGACCACUUACCCUUUGAGUGGGAGAAAAUAUGGAGGCUUCCACUACCGGCAAAAAUCUUGCACUUUUUAUGGAGAAUGGCAAGAAACAGUCUGCCAUUGAGACAAAAACUAAUUCAGCGAGGAGUUAAAGCAGACCCAUGGUGCCCAGUAUGCUUACGUACUGACGAGGAUGGAGGGCACACCUUCAAAUGCAAACCAGUGAAGCACAUAUGGAGGGCGGCUCAAAUGGGGGAUAUAAGGGAAAAUCUUAGCAUUUGUUGUAGCCCGAAAGAUGUGCUCAUUCGAAUUUUUGAGCUUGAUCAGAGGAAGAGUGCAAGAGCAAGUAUUCUUAUGUGGCUUUGGUGGCACGAGAGAAAUAAAGCUAAUAAAGGAGAGGCUAUAAGAAGUACAACUGAAAUUCUAGAAUCCCUCGAAAAGCAUGAUAGAGAAUCUGACAAGUUUUUUAAGAGGAAAUGUACUAAAAAAACAACGACCAAGGAUAGUUGUUGGAAACCGCCAGAGGAAAAUUAUCUAAAGAUAAAUAUAGACGGAGCCUUCACAAAGGACACAAAGAAGGGAGGAUGGGGUUUCAUUAUCAGAAACUCUGAAGGAGGAGUAGAAGCAGCAGGGGCAGGGAGAUUGUCAAGACUCUCUGAGGCAAUUCAAGCAGAAACAAUUGCCCUGUUAUAUGCCGUGGAGAGAGCAAGUGAGUUGGGAUGCAGGAAUGUAAUCUUCGAAACGGAUGCAUUGGUGCUGAAACAAGCUAUUGACGGAGACGCCUACGAUAAUUCAGUUUUCGGUGCCCUGUUUCGAGAAGCAAAGUUUAAACUCUUGUACUAUUUUCAGUCUGCUUUUAUCAAUUGGUGUCCCAGGUCCUGUAAUGUAGCUGCCCAUAAGCUAGCGUCAUUUGGCGCGAGUUUGGUUGAGCCAGAUAUAUGUAUGUGGUUGUCAGAUGUACCAAACUUUGUAACCGAAGCGGUUGCCAGUGAUUUUGUUGGCCCGUAUGUGUAA
rnacentral:rRNA from 1 species